CUGCAUUCCCUAGUACGGCGAGUGAAGCGGGAAGAGCUCAAAUUUGAAAUCUGGCAGUCUUCGAUUGUCCGAGUUGUAAUCUAUAGAGGCGUUUUCCGUGCCGGACCGUGUCCAAGUCUCCUGGAAAGGAGUAUCAAAGAGGGUGAUAAUCCCGUACUUAACACGACCACCGGUGCUCUGUGAUACGUCUUCUACGAGUCGAGUUGUUUGGGAAUGCAGCUCAAAAUGGGUGGUGAAUUCCAUCUAAAGCUAAAUAUUGGCGAGAGACCGAUAGCGAACAAGUACCGUGAGGGAAAGAUGAAAAGCACUUUGGAAAGAGAGUUAAACAGUACGUGAAAUUGUUGAAAGGGAAACGAUUGAAGUCAGUCGUGUUCUUUGGAUUCAGCCAGUUCUGCUGGUCUACUUCCUUUGAACGGGUCAACAUCAGUUUUGUCCGGUGGAUAAAGGCAGUAGGAAUGUAGCUUCUCCGGAAGUGUUAUAGCCUAUUGUCACAUACACUGGGUGAGACUGAGGACUGCAGCUCGCCUUUAUGGCCGACCUUCGGGUACGUUCGAGCUUAGGAUGUUGACAUAAUGGCUUUAAACGACCCGUCU
rnacentral:rRNA from 1 species